GUCUGGUGUGUGUGUUUCAUCUGAUGCUGAAACUCAAACCCAGGCUCAGUGAUGAGGGACUUUAAGGCUUCUGUUGGCCUCUACGUCUGCCUUAAGGUAAAUAAGUUGUGUCCCAAGACCUCUUUUAGCAGAAUGGGACCAACAUUAUUACUGUGCAGGUCCUGAUACGCCUCAGAGCUUUUCAGAUUGUUCAUUGCCUCCCCAUUCAAAGUGAGAGUUAAGAAAAGAGCU